rnacentral:rRNA from 1 species
GAUUAACGCUGGCGGCGUGCAUAACACAUGCAAGUCGAACGAUGAAACUUAGUCGACUUCUUCGGAAAGACAUUAAGCGGAUUAGUGGCGAACGGGUGAGUAACGCGUGAGUAACCUGCCUUACACAAGGGGAUAGCCUUUGGAAACGAAGAAUAAUACCCUAUAAAACCAUAAAAGCACAUGCUAGAAUGGUCAAAGUGAUAGCGGUGUAAGAUGGACUUGCGUCUGAUUAGCUAGUUGGUGAGAUAAAAGCUCACCAAGGCAACGAUCAGUAGCCGGCUUGAGAGAGUGUACGGCCACAUUGGGACUGAGACACGGCCCAGACUCCUACAGGAGGCAGCAGUGGGGAAUUUAGCACAAUGGGGGAAACCCUGAUGCAGCGAGGCCGCGUGAUUGAGAAGGCCUUCGGGUUGUAAAAAUCUUUUGUAUAGGAAGAAAAUGACAGUACUAUACGAAUAAGGUCCGGCUAAUUACGUG